AUGAUACGCGAGGAACCUUACCUGGGCUCAAAUGUAUGUUGACGUAUUCUGAAAGGGAUACUUACUUCGGACAAUAUACAAGGUGCUGCAUGGUUGUCGUCAGCUCGUGCCGUGAGGUGUCGGGUUAAGUACCCAUAACGAGCGCAACCCCUAUCAUUAGUUGCCAUCAGGUCAAGCUGGGGACUCUAAUGAAACUGCCUACGCAAGUAGUGAGGAAGGUGGGGAUGACGUCAAAUCAGCACGGCCCUUACGUCCAGGGCUACACACGUGCUACAAUGGCCGGUACAAAGGGCAGCUACCUGGUGACAGGAUGCUAAUCUCAAAAGCCGGUCUCAGUUCGGAUCGGAGUCUGCAACCCGACUCCGUGAAGUUGGAUUCGCUAGUAAUCGCGCAUCAGCCAUGGCGCGGUGAAUACGUUCCCGGGCCUC
rnacentral:rRNA from 1 species